AGACCCGAAACCCGGUGAUCUAGCCAUGGGCAGGUUGAAGGUUGGGUAACACUAACUGGAGGACCGAACCGACUAAUGUUGAAAAAUUAGCGGAUGACCUGUGGCUGGGGGUGAAAGGCCAAUCAAACCGGGAGAUAGCUGGUUCUCCCCGAAAGCUAUUUAGGUAGCGCCUCGUGAAUUCAUCUCCGGGGGUAGAGCACUGUUUCGGCUAGGGGGCCAUCCCGGCUUACCAACCCGAUGCAAACUGCGAAUACCGGAGAAUGUUAUCACGGGAGACACACGGCGGGUGCUAACGUCCGUCGUGAAGAGGGAAACAACCCAGACCGCCAGCUAAGGUCCCAAAGUCAUGGUUAAGUGGGAAACGAUGUGGGAAGGCCCAGACAGCCAGGAUGUUGGCUUAGAAGCAGCCAUCAUUUAAAGAAAGCGUAAUAGCUCACUGGUCGAGUCGGCCUGCGCGGAAGAUGUAACGGGGCUAAACCAUGCACCGAAGCUGCGGCAGCGACGCUUAUGCGUUGUUGGGUAGGGGAGCGUUCUGUAAGCCUGUGAAGGUGUGUCGUGAGGCAUGCUGGAGGUAUCAGAAGUGCGAAUGCUGACAUAAGUAACGAUAAAGCGGGUGAAAAGCCCGCUCGCCGGAAGACCAAGGGUUCCUGUCCAACGUUAAUCGGGGCAGGGUGAGUCGACCCCUAAGGCGAGGCCGAAAGGCGUAGUCGAUGGGAAACGGGUUAAUAUUCCCGUACUUGGUGUUACUGCGAAGGGGGGACGGAGAAGGCUAUGUUGGCCGGGCGACGGUUGUCCCGGUUUAAGCGUGUAGGUGUGUGUUCCAGGUAAAUCCGGUUCACUUUAACACUGAGGCGUGACGACGAGGCACUACGGUGCUGAAGCAACAAAUGCCCUGCUUCCAGGAAAAGCCUCUAAGCAUCAGGUAACAUCAAAUCGUACCCCAAACCGACACAGGUGGUCAGGUAGAGAAUACCAAGGCGCUUGAGAGAACUCGGGUGAAGGAACUAGGCAAAAUGGUGCCGUAACUUCGGGAGAAGGCACGCUGACACGUAGGUGAAGUGAUUUACUCAUGGAGCUGAAGUCAGUCGAAGAUACCAGCUGGCUGCAACUGUUUAUUAAAAACACAGCACUGUGCAAACACGAAAGUGGACGUAUACGGUGUGACGCCUGCCCGGUGCCGGAAGGUUAAUUGAUGGGGUCAGCGCAAGCGAAGCUCCUGAUCGAAGCCCCGGUAAACGGCGGCCGUAACUAUAACGGUCCUAAGGUAGCGAAAUUCCUUGUCGGGUAAGUUCCGACCUGCACGAAUGGCGUAAUGAUGGCCAGGCUGUCUCCACCCGAGACUCAGUGAAAUUGAACUCGCUGUGAAGAUGCAGUGUACCCGCGGCAAGACGGAAAGACCCCGUGAACCUUUACUAUAGCUUGACACUGAACAUUGAGCCUUGAUGUGUAGGAUAGGUGGGAGGCUUUGAAGCGUGGACGCCAGUCUGCGUGGAGCCGACCUUGAAAUACCACCCUUUAAUGUUUGAUGUUCUAACGUGGACCCGUAAUCCGGGUUGCGGACAGUGUCUGGUGGGUAGUUUGACUGGGGCGGUCUCCUCCUAAAGAGUAACGGAGGAGCACGAAGGUUGGCUAAUCCUGGUCGGACAUCAGGAGGUUAGUGCAAUGGCAUAAGCCAGCUUGACUGCGAGCGUGACGGCGCGAGCAGGUGCGAAAGCAGGUCAUAGUGAUCCGGUGGUUCUGAAUGGAAGGGCCAUCGCUCAACGGAUAAAAGGUACUCCGGGGAUAACAGGCUGAUACCGCCCAAGAGUUCAUAUCGACGGCGGUGUUUGGCACCUCGAUGUCGGCUCAUCACAUCCUGGGGCUGAAGUAGGUCCCAAGGGUAUGGCUGUUCGCCAUUUAAAGUGGUACGCGAGCUGGGUUUAGAACGUCGUGAGACAGUUCGGUCCCUAUCUGCCGUGGGCGCUGGAGAACUGAGGGGGGCUGCUCCUAGUACGAGAGGACCGGAGUGGACGCAUCACUGGUGUUCGGGUUGUCAUGCCAAUGGCACUGCCCGGUAGCUAAAUGCGGAAGAGAUAAGUGCUGAAAGCAUCUAAGCACGAAACUUGCCCCGA
rnacentral:rRNA from 1 species